GCAAGUCGAGCGCACCUUCGGGUGAGCGGCGGACGGGUUAGUAACGCGUGGGAAUAUACCCUUCUCUACGGAAUAGCCUCGGGAAACUGAGAGUAAUACCGUAUACGCCCUUAGGGGGAAAGAUUUAUCGCUUAGGGAUUGGCCUAUGUUCGAUUAGGUAGUUGGUAGGGUAAAGGCCUACCAAGCCGAUGAUCGAUAGCUGGUUUGAGAAGAUGAUC
rnacentral:rRNA from 1 species